GACGAACGCUGGCGGCGUGCUUAACACAUGCAAGUCGAACGGCAAGGCCCUUUUGGCGGUACUCGAGUGGCGACCGGGUGAGUAACACGUGAGUAACCUGCCCUUGCUUUUGGGAUAACUUCAGGAAACUGGGGAUAAUACCGGUAAGGCCUCCUUGCUGCUUGGUGGGGGUUGGAAAGCUUCGGGGGCUUUGGAUGGACUCGCGGGCUAUCGGCUUGUUGGUGGGGUAGUGGGUUACCGAGGCUUUGACGGGUAGCCGGACAGUGAGGGUGACCGGCUACACUGGGACUGAGAGGCGGCCCAGACGCCGACGGGAGGCAGCAGGGGGGAAGAUUGCACAAGGGGCGGAAGGCUGAUGCAGCAACGCCGCGGGCGGGAGAGCGGCCUUCGGGUGGAAGACCGCUUGCAGCAGGAGCGAAGCUUGUGGUGACGGUACCUGCAGAAGAAGCACCGGCUAACUACGUG
rnacentral:rRNA from 1 species